rnacentral:rRNA from 1 species
GACAGAGGUUGCAAGCGUUGUUCGGAAUUACUGGGCAUAAAGCGCACGUAGGCGGUCCGCUAAGUCAUGUGUGAAAUCCCCCGGCUCAACCGGGGAAUGGCGCCUGAUACUGGCGGACUCGAGAUCGGUAGGGGUGAGUGGGACUCCAGGUGGAGCGGUGAAAUGCGUAGAUAUCGGGAGGAACACCAAUGGCGAAGGCAGCUUGCUGGGACGGUACUGACGCUGAGACGCGAAAGCGUGGGGAGCAAACAGG